GCCACCAAGAUCAAGAGUUGUAAGGGGGAGGAGGGAAAGUGAGUGUGGGUGUUGGUGACAGGAAACACUAUACACUGGUGGCUGUCAUCAAUAUGUGAGUCCCUCCGUGCCUGGGUAACUAAUACCUGUGAAUCUCAACGUGAAUACAUCCCGCACACCAGAAGUGCCUUUCUAAUGGUGUACUAGAACCCAAUAUGGAUGCCACAGAAGCUGCAUCUUCCAAGGGGGGCAUCCCUCUCUUGUACCCCUCCACACCCUUCGCCAUACGUCCAGGCCUGUAUAUGUACCCACCAAAUCCACUGCCUUAUGUUAUACCACCACCACCACCCGCCCCACCAGUGUGCCUGCCUCCUCAUGCUGCAAUGAAGGGGCAUGAUUUGUACUUCUCAGGGCAACAUGGUGCACCAAGAGGUCCUGGCAUGGGGAGUGUCAGGGGGCCCUGGUCUUAUUAUGGCCAGCCACUAGUGGAGGGAACACUUGAUCACGGGUCUUACAUGAUGCCUCCCAUGCCAGCACUCUUCCAAGGCACACCAUACUCCUAUUAUCCAUCUCACUAUGUUCUACCUGUUCCUCAACAUCACAUGCACCAAAGACAGACUGUACCAAGAAGUAAGAUUAUCUCCAUUGAGGAUGUCACCCAUACUGAUACAGAAAUGGAAAGUAAUACUGAGUCAAGUGAUGACAACAUUUCUGUAUCAGUGGAUAAGAAGCUACAGUGUGAUGAAAAUCAAAACAAAACAAAUGAACCAAAUUGUUUAAAAGAUAAGGACUCAAGAGAUAAAAAGAAAAUGUCUCAAAAAAAUGUCAGUGAAAAGAAAGAUUUAACAGAGUCAACUCAUGAAAAAAAAAAUCUCUCUUCAGCAAAGCUUUCAAAUGCCACAUCUAAGGAGACAUCCAAGUCAGCCAGCACCAGGAAUAAAACUGUAUUGAGUGAUUGUGGAACUUAUAAAAAGAAAGAAGGAAAGAAAAAAAAUGAUAAUGUGAAACUCAAAGUUUUUACAACUAGGGACAAGGCAAGAAAUUUAUAUGGCUUUGGUUUGUAUGAAGAGACAGAUGAGAAAGACAAAAUAUCUGCCUCUGAUGAGUCCCAGACCACAGAGAAAAUGAAGGAGUAUUUAAAAUUGAAGGAGGACAGAACACGCCAGGUGCAGGUUAAAGGAGUCAUCACAGAGGUUCACUGCAGAAUGGGCAAGCUACGGCUACAGAGUGGCAAGGAGUACUACUUCUCCCCUGACCUGUGCUUUUUGUAUGGUGUUAGUCUGGCUGACUUGGAACUCUGGCACGUCUUGAUUGAAGGACAGCAAGUGAAAGUCACACUAAAUGACAUCAACUCAGAGCUCCCCAAAGUUACUCGGGUCACAGUGGAAGAGGAGGACCCUGAUUCUGAUCCAGAUGCCACGACCCUCAACAUCCAGCAGUGGUGCUCAGGCAAUUGUGUCCCAGAGGAAGCUACUAUGAAACUGACUUUGUUACCAGUGUCCCACAAAACACUGGAGACAUCUUAUGGCCAGACCUCACAACAGGAAGACAAAAACACAUUCUAUCAAUGAUGUGAAAGGUUGAGUGCCUUACCAGGACAUUUUGUGUCACCAGAUCACAGCUGUCUUUCAUAACCAUUGUUCAGCAGGUGAAGGGCCUUCAGUGAUGUCUGGAGUGAACCUCCAAGGUGAUGGUGUUGGUGGUGCAUACCAGGAUGGAUUAGGAAGUAGUGUUGUGGUGAAUAUUGUUUCUACUUUGGUUUUUCUCUGUUGGAGUUGUCGUUCUGAAGGCCUGACAAAGGAACAAUUAUGAAUCACCUGUACCAUCAAAGAUGCUUGUUUUGAUUAUCACUAUUUAUGCAUGUUAUUGCUACUCUUAUUGCAUCGAUAUAUAUUUUUUCUCAAUUUUUGUCACUAAAGCAUGUUCACAUUUGUAUCUCAGGAAAAUGAGGUAUACGGUAUAUAAAACUGUUUGACGAAGUAUGAUUAUGUAACUGGAUUUAGCUGGCUUAUAAUUUUUAGUUUCACUUACGUCAGCCAGUCUUUUCUCCUUUGAAAGUUUUUACAUGUCAUGUGCCAAGAGCACCAAAAAGAGUAAUAAAAAAGCCCACUUGCAAUGUGGCUCCCCCACAAAAGAAAAAAAAAACAGGAGGAGAACUGAGCAAGUCCACCAAUUUAAUUUUUGAGGUGUUUUGAUACUCAUUUGAAAAAGGUCAAGUUGUAGGCAGGAGGAAAUACAGAAACAGGAGCAGAGUUCCAGAAUUUAGCAGUACAAGGGAUAAAUGAGAGUAGAAAGUCUUGUAUGGCAAGACUGCAGGAUGGAGGAAGAUGUACAGUUAGCAGGUGCAAAAGAGUCGUAACCAUGGAAAUAACAGUAUUAGAUAGUAAGAUACAACAUUGUGGCAGUGAUUGGGAAAAUCAAGGCAGUCUGUUUGAGAAGUUGAAAUAACGAAAUUGAGAGCUUUUUACUCCAUUUGAUUUAGGAGUGAUAUUGUAUUAAGGAUAACAGUAUAACAAUAAGCAGGAUGAUUAAUACACAGGAAUAUGUAAGAAAAAGCCAGCCCACUCCAGGGAUUUAUCAAGAUGGCAUACAUGUGUAUAAUUUCAGUGUGAUAAGACACAAUAGUGGUGCUGGCUUUGGAAGAUGAAUGCAAAUCAGACUUCAUUGCCCAUAAAGAAACAGAUGACUAUCAAGGUUUUCUGCUCAGGUGUACAGUAUAUUUGGAGUGCACAGCUUAUUACAUAUUUUUUAGUAAAACAUGUACAAAUUUGCAUUUUUACAAUAAAGUGAAAGCUUAACAAUUA